rnacentral:rRNA from 1 species
UACAGAGGUCUCAAGCGUUGUUCGGAUUCAUUGGGCGUAAAGGGUGCGUAGGCGGCGCGGUAAGUCGGGUGUGAAAUCUCGGAGCUUAACUCCGAAACUGCAUUCGAUACUGCCGUGCUUGAGGACUGGAGAGGAGACUGGAAUUUACGGUGUAGCGGUGAAAUGCGUAGAUAUCGUAAGGAAGACCAGUGGCGAAGGCGGCUUGCCAGAAUGCGCUCGACGGUGAGGGAUGAAAGCUGGGGGAGCAAACCGG